GGCGACCAUCGCUGCUGUAAAGCGCUGCGUUUACAUCGCAGAGGUCAGAGGUUCGAAUCCUCUACUGGUCCCC
rnacentral:tRNA from 1 species